rnacentral:rRNA from 1 species
AGAACAACUCUCGGCAACGGAUAUCUCGGCUCUCGCAUCGAUGAAGAACGUAGUGAAAAGCGAUACUUGGUGUGAAUUGCAGAAUCACGUGAACCAUCGAGUCUUUGAACGCAAGUUGUGCCUGAAGCCUUCUGGCCGAGGGCACGUCUGUCUGGGCAUCAUGC